rnacentral:rRNA from 1 species
UACGUAGGGGGCAAGCGUUGUCCGGAAUCAUUGGGCGUAAAGAGCUCGUAGGCGGCCUGUUGCGUCCGCUGUGAAAUCCCGGGGCUUAACCCCGGGCGUGCAGUGGAAACGGGCUGGCUGGAGGCAGGCAGGGGAGAACGGAAUUCCCGGUGUAGCGGUGAAAUGCGCAGAUAUCGGGAGGAACACCGGUGGCGAAGGCGGUUCUCUGGGCCUGUACUGACGCUGAGACGCGAAAGCGUGGGGAGCGAACAGG